rnacentral:rRNA from 1 species
GACGAACGCUGGCGGCGUGCUUAACACAUGCAAGUCGAACGGAAAGGCCCUGCUUUUGUGGGGUGCUCGAGUGGCGAACGGGUGAGUAACACGUGAGUAACCUGCCCUUGACUUUGGGAUAACUUCAGGAAACUGGGGCUAAUACCGGAUAGGAGCUCCUGCUGCAUGGUGGGGGUUGGAAAGUUUCGGCGGUUGGGGAUGGACUCGCGGCUUAUCAGAUUGUUGGUGGGGUAGUGGCUUACCAAGGCUUUGACCGGUAGCCGGCCUGAGAGGGUGACCUGCCCCGUUGGGACUGAAAUACGGCACGGCCUACAACGGGAGGCGACAGUGGAGAAUAGUGCACAAUGGGCGGAAGCCUAAUGCAGCACAGCAGCGUGCGGUAUGACGGCAUUCGGGUUGUGAUCCGCUUUCGCCUGUGACGAAGCGUGAGUGACGGUAAUGGGUGAAGAAGCACCGGCUAACUACGUG